AGAGCGAACGCUGGCGGCAUGCUUAACACAUGCAAGUCUCACGGGCAGCAAUGUCAGUGGCGGACGGGUGAGUAACGCGUAGGUAUCUAUCCAUGGGUGGGGGAUAACGUCGGGAAACUGACGCUAAUACCGCAUGACAUCUGAGGAUCAAAGGCGCGAGUCGCCUGUGGAGGAGCCUGCGUACGAUUAGCUAGUUGGUGGGGUAAAGGCCUACCAAGGCGACGAUCGUUAGCUGGUCUGAGAGGAUGAUCAGCCACACUGGGACUGAGACACGGCCCAGACUCCUACGGGAGGCAGCAGUGGGGAAUAUUGGACAAUGGGCGAAAGCCUGAUCCAGCAAUGCCGCGUGUGUGAAGAAGGUCUUCGGAUUGUAAAGCACGUUUCGGCGGGGACGAUGAUGACGGUACCCGCAGAAGAAGCCCCGGCUAACUUCGCGCCAGCAGCCGCGUAA
rnacentral:rRNA from 1 species